UUUAUGGAGAGUUUGAUCCUGGCUCAGGACGAACGCUGGCGGCGUGCUUAACACAUGCAAGUCGAACGGUGAUGUCAGAGCUUGCUCUGGCGGAUCAGUGGCGAACGGGUGAGUAACACGUGAGUAACCUGCCCCCGACUCUGGGAUAACUGCUAGAAAUGGUAGCUAAUACCGGAUAUGACGAUUGGCCGCAUGGUCUGGUCGUGGAAAGAAUUUCGGUUGGGGAUGGACUCGCGGCCUAUCAGGUUGUUGGUGAGGUAAUGGCUCACCAAGCCUACGACGGGUAGCCGGCCUGAGAGGGUGACCGGCCACACUGGGACUGAGACACGGCCCAGACUCCUACGGGAGGCAGCAGUGGGGAAUAUUGCACAAUGGGCGAAAGCCUGAUGCAGCAACGCCGCGUGAGGGAUGACGGCCUUCGGGUUGUAAACCUCUUUUAGUAGGGAAGAAGCGAAAGUGACGGUACCUGCAGAAAAAGCACCGGCUAACUACGUGCCAGCAGCCGCGGUAAUACGUAGGGUGCAAGCGUUGUCCGGAAUUAUUGGGCGUAAAGAGCUCGUAGGCGGUUUGUCGCGUCUGCUGUGAAAUCCCGAGGCUCAACCUCGGGUCUGCAGUGGGUACGGGCAGACUAGAGUGCGGUAGGGGAGAUUGGAAUUCCUGGUGUAGCGGUGGAAUGCGCAGAUAUCAGGAGGAACACCGAUGGCGAAGGCAGAUCUCUGGGCCGUAACUGACGCUGAGGAGCGAAAGCAUGGGGAGCGAACAGGAUUAGAUACCCUGGUAGUCCAUGCCGUAAACGUUGGGAACUAGAUGUGCGGACCAUUCCACGGUCUCCGUGUCGCAGCUAACGCAUUAAGUUCCCCGCCUGGGGAGUACGGCCGCAAGGCUAAAACUCAAAGGAAUUGACGGGGGCCCGCACAAGCGGCGGAGCAUGCGGAUUAAUUCGAUGCAACGCGAAGAACCUUACCAAGGCUUGACAUAUACCGGAAACAUGCAGAAAUGUGUGCCCCGCAAGGUCGGUAUACAGGUGGUGCAUGGUUGUCGUCAGCUCGUGUCGUGAGAUGUUGGGUUAAGUCCCGCAACGAGCGCAACCCUCGUUCUAUGUUGCCAGCACGUAAUGGUGGGAACUCAUAGGAGACUGCCGGGGUCAACUCGGAGGAAGGUGGGGAUGACGUCAAAUCAUCAUGCCCCUUAUGUCUUGGGCUUCACGCAUGCUACAAUGGCCGGUACAAAGGGCUGCGAUACCGUAAGGUGGAGCGAAUCCCAAAAAGCCGGUCUCAGUUCGGAUUGAGGUCUGCAACUCGACCUCAUGAAGUCGGAGUCGCUAGUAAUCGCAGAUCAGCAACGCUGCGGUGAAUACGUUCCCGGGCCUUGUACACACCGCCCGUCAAGUCAUGAAAGUCGGUAACACCCGAAGCCAGUGGCCUAACCGCAAGGGAGGAGCUGUCGAAGGUGGGAUCGGUGAUUAGGACUAAGUCGUAACAAGGUAGCCGUACCGGAAGGUGCGGCUGGAUCACCUCCUUUCUAAGGA
rnacentral:rRNA from 1 species